GAUGAAGAACGUAGCGAAAUACGAUACGUAAUGUGAAUUGCAAAUUCAGUGAAUCAUCGAGUCUUUGAACGCACAUUGCGCCCCCUGGUAUUCCGGGGGGCAUGCCUGUCCGAGCGUCAUUGCUGCCCUCAAGCACGGCUUGUGUGUUGGGCCCCGUCCUCCGAUCCCGGGGGACGGGCCCGAAAGGCAGCGGCGGCACCGCGUCCGGUCCUCGAGCGUAUGGGGCUUUGUCACCCGCUCUGUAGGCCCGGCCGGCGCUUGCCGAUCAACCCAAAUUUUUAUCCAGGUUGACCUCGGAUCAGGUAGGGAUACCCGCUGAACUUAAGCAUAUCAAUAAGCGGAGGA
rnacentral:misc_RNA from 1 species